ensembl:lncRNA
GGCUGUACACUUCCUUUAAGUUUAGAGCACUUUUUAUAGACAGCGCCACCUACCGCAAUAGAUGAUCAGUAAAGUGCACAAUUUACGUUUUAAAUUGAUGAUUUCACUCAAAAUAUACUUACAAUACAAAAGGCUUAUUCAAGAAGAAUUCUCCGUUGAUGCUGAACGAAGUAGCAGCAUUUAUCGCCAUGAUAGACAACGGUAACCAUGUGAGUACUAACUGUGAAUUGUUUUAUUAGUUUAACUUUAUAGAACAAAUAAACGUUUGGUUUACAGCGUUUUAUUGUUUAACGUUAUAAACAUUUCUGCUGUUUUCAUUUGCGGAGCAAAGCUGUUAACCUGCUAAACUGAGAAACAAGCUAUAUUUGAGCUCGUCAUUAAGUAGCACAGACGACCACUUUUAUAUAGUGACCGCUGCUGUAAAACCAACGCUUAGCUUGUUUGAUCAUUUGUUUAAUUGAGUCCUAGCCAGAUUUUGGCAGCCCAGGUCCAGGUCAUGAUAAUUAACUACAAGCAGCAUAUUAAUUAACCCUUCACCUGAUGGUAAAAGCAUGUUGAAAUUAUCUCUGUCUGUCAAGGACAUUAAGCAACAACAACCUUCAGUGUAAGUGUUUAAUACUAACAAUUUUACAGGUUUUAUGAUGUUAAUAAAGUUGCAGGUAUCUGAACAUUUUCUUCAUAGUCAGACUUUUCAUGAUCACAUUUUCUUGUGAUGCUGAGACAUUUAGUAUUUUUAACGCUCAGUUUUGAUGUAGGCUUAUCCUUCACUCCUUUACCUCAUCUACUGUCUACUGUACAGCCUGUAUGAACUUACAUCAUUACACAGAUUGAAUCCAAGACAGAAAACUUUAAAUCUAUUGGUCCACCUCCCAGAUUAAACUUGAUUUAUGUUUAUUUAUGUUUAUGUUAGUUUUUAAAAAAUGUUUACACAAAGAAGAAACUGCUCUCUCCAAAUGCUUUUGUUGUUGCCACAUAUUCAUUUUGAAGAGAAAGGACACAUUUUGAACUCAAAUUUUCCUUUCUAUUGUCACACUGCUUUCAGAUGGACAUGCCUUUGAUACGGAAGUGGUGGUGUCUUCUUCUCAUGGAGCGUUUCCAAACAGAGGGAUGCGACAACCUGAAACAAAACAUAUGAAUAUUUAUGUUCGAAAUAUAUAGCCAGAGGUUCGCUUUCUGGACUGAUGAAGCCAGAAUCCUGCUCCAGGGAACCCUGAAGCCUGUUUACACAGUGCCAAGACGAGGUGCCGUCACUGAUGAAGUUCCGCUCCAUAUGCAGGCUGUCACUGAACGCACUGCAAAGGAAACCAGACUGGUGGACUUCAUUAUCCAGUCAAAGGGAGCUGAGCAGCAUUUGGUGGAUGUACUUAGUGGCAAACGCUCUACUUGGAUUCAUCAGAAGUCUUGUUGCCAGAUGCCUGUCUACCUGGAUAGUGAAGAACAACAGGACAAGCUUUUUGCAUUCUUAAAGACUACUGCACAGAGGACCACAACACCACUGAGCUUCACAGAUGAAGUGCUGUUCAUCUUUGAUGUUCUCUCUCCAGAGGCCAUCAUAUAUGGCCUGUCUAUGCAGGACAAUCUGUCCCUGCAGGACAGUCUGUCCCUGCAGGAGGCUGAGCAGGUCUUCUUCCAGCUUACCAUCAAAGUGAAGUGGAGGAGUUUUGUCAAAGGAUUAAAAAAGACCUGAAGAAAGAAGGCAGACUGUUCAGUUGGAGGACGUGAGAUCAGAGGUUUUGCAGCGGGAGUCAUAGACAUCACUUUUGUGUGUGUGUGCGUGCGUGCGUGCGUGCGUGUGUGUUCAGCUUUUAUUUUUAUUUCAUAUUAUUGUGUAAAAUAAAUAUAUAUAUAUGUAUUCAGCAUUGUCCUUGUGUUUUGUCUCUUUCCAACCUUUCAGACUGUCCUGUUUGAGAUCUAGACUCCACAAAGGCCAUUACAGAUGAUUCCAUUAAUAUUUUAUCUGAUAAUUACAGUUUGUCUAAAUGCUAGCCUUAGCAACCAAGUUAUGAGUCAUAACUUAUGACAUUGUAAUAAGUGCUAUUUGAGUGAAUUAAACAUUUAAAAUCUUAGGUAGGACAUGAAGUAGUACUUUGUGUUGAAUACUUUGUGCUCCUGAAAGUGCAGCCUUCAGCUGUGUAGAAAAACUUACAGGGAUUAAAAUGAACGGGGAAUUCUUCCUGAAUAAGCCUUUUGUAUUGUAAGUAUAUUUUGAGUAAAAUCGUCAAUUUAAAAUGUAAAUUGUGCACUUUAGUGAUCAUCUAUUGCGGUAGGUGGCGCUGUCUAUA